rnacentral:rRNA from 1 species
UACGUAGGUGACCAGCGUUGUCCGGAUUUGCUGGGCGUAAAGAGCGCGCAGGCGGUCGUUCAAGUCGAGUGUGAAAGCCCCCGGCUCAACUGGGGAGGGUCAUUCGAUACUGAUCGACUGGAAGGCAGGAGAGGGAAGCGGAAUUCCCGGUGUAGUGGUGAAAUGCGUAGAUAUCGGGAGGAACACCAGUGGCGAAGGCGGCUUCCUGGCCUGUUCUUGACGCUGAGGCGCGAAAGCUAGGGGAGCAAACGGG